rnacentral:rRNA from 1 species
AAGCCUCUAAGCAUCAGGUAACAUCAAAUCGUACCCCAAACCGACACAGGUGGUCAGGUAGAGAAUACCAAGGCGCUUGAGAGAACUCGGGUGAAGGAACUAGGCAAAAUGGUGCCGUAACUUCGGGAGAAGGCACGCUGAUAUGUAGGUGAAGCGACUUGCUCGUGGAGCUGAAAUCAGUCGAAGAUACCAGCUGGCUGCAACUGUUUAUUAAAAACACAGCACUGUGCAAACACGAAAGUGGACGUAUACGGUGUGACGCCUGCCCGGUGCCGGAAGGUUAAUUGAUGGGGUUAGCGGUAACGCGAAGCUCUUGAUCGAAGCCCCGGUAAACGGCGGCCGUAACUAUAACGGUCCUAAGGUAGCGAAAUUCCUUGUCGGGUAAGUUCCGACCUGCACGAAUGGCGUAAUGAUGGCCAGGCUGUCUCCACCCGAGACUCAGUGAAAUUGAACUCGCUGUGAAGAUGCAGUGUACCCGCGGCAAGACGGAAAGACCCCGUGAACCUUUACUAUAGCUUGACACUGAACAUUGAGCCUUGAUGUGUAGGAUAGGUGGGAGGCUUUGAAGUGUGGACGCCAGUCUGCAUGGAGCCGACCUUGAAAUACCACCCUUUAAUGUUUGAUGUUCUAACGUUGGCCCCUAAUCGGGGUUGCGGACAGUGUCUGGUGGGUAGUUUGACUGGGGCGGUCUCCUCCUAAAGAGUAACGGAGGAGCACGAAGGUUGGCUAAUCCUGGUCGGACAUCAGGAGGUUAGUGCAAUGGCAUAAGCCAGCUUGACUGCGAGCGUGACGGCGCGAGCAGGUGCGAAAGCAGGUCAUAGUGAUCCGGUGGUUCUGAAUGGAAGGGCCAUCGCUCAACGGAUAAAAGGUACUCCGGGGAUAACAGGCUGAUACCGCCCAAGAGUUCAUAUCGACGGCGGUGUUUGGCACCUCGAUGUCGGCUCAUCACAUCCUGGGGCUGAAGUAGGUCCCAAGGGUAUGGCUGUUCGCCAUUUAAAGUGGUACGCGAGCUGGGUUUAGAACGUCGUGAGACAGUUCGGUCCCUAUCUGCCGUGGGCGCUGGAGAACUGAGGGGGGCUGCUCCUAGUACGAGAGGACCGGAGUGGACGCAUCACUGGUGUUCGGGUUGUCAUGCCAAUGGCACUGCCCGGUAGCUAAAUGCGGAAGAGAUAAGUGCUGAAAGCAUCUAAGCACGAAACUUGCCCCGAGAUGAGUUCUCCCUGAGACUUAGAGUCUCCUGAAGGAACGUUGAAGACGACGACGUUGAUAGGCCGGGUGUGUAAGCGCAGCGAUGCGUUGAGCUAACCGGUACUAAUGAACCGUGAGGCUUAACCUU